UUCAUAUUUUGCAUAUGUCCACAAUAUACACACCAUGUAAUCUGCAAUAUUAAAGUGUGCGCAUCAUGUCGGGAAGCGCACGUAAAAUAUCCAAGUCAUCAUCGCUGGGGUAUCCCUCUUCAGCGCCGCCUGGUGGGAUUUCCCUUCUUCCGGUCUCUUCUGCCAUAUUCAGACUUCUGACAGUCACCCCGCUCCUGAUUAGGUGAGUGUUGCUCUAUGAGAUGUGAUCUUGCUUUGUCACACAUGAUCGAUAAUUCCCACUGCUGGGUAACGAACCAGUCAGCACACAGAGAUGGCAAAGUCCAAGAACCACACCAAUCACAACCA